CCUAAUUGCUACUGUAAGUCACUCUGGAUAAGAGUGUCUGCUAAAUGACUCAAA
rfam:Salmo salar isolate Sally breed double haploid chromosome ssa11, whole genome shotgun sequence.